UACAGAGGCCCCAAGCGUUACCCGGAUUUAUUGGGCGUAAAGGGUGCGUAGGUGGUUUUAUUAGUCUGUUGUCAAAACUCCCGGCUUAACCGGGAACUCGCAACGGAAACGGUAGAACUAGAGGAUGUGAGGGGUGUGUGGAACUCAAGGUGUAGGGGUGAAAUCCGUUGAUAUCUUGGGGAACACCAAAAGCGAAGGCAGCACACUGGCACAUUCCUGACACUGAAGCACGAAAGCGUGGGUAGCGAAU
rnacentral:rRNA from 1 species